rnacentral:rRNA from 1 species
UUGUUGCGGUUAAAAGCUCGUCGUUGGAUUUCUGUUGAGCACGGCCGCCCUAUGGGUGCGCAACUGGCUCGGCUUCGGCAUCUUCUUGGAGAGCGCAUCUGCACUUAACUGUGUGGAUCGUACUUCAAGUCAGUUACUUUGAGGAAUUGUGAGUGUUUCAAGCAGGCUUACGCCGUUGAAUCCGUUAGCAUGGAAUAAUAGAAUAGGACCUCGGUUCUAUUUUGUUGGUUUUGAGAGCUGGGGCAGCGAUUGAUAGGGACGGAUGGGGGCGUCCGAACUUUACUGUCAGAGGUGAAAUUCUUAGAUCGGUCAAAGGCGAACUACUGCGAACGCAUUCGCCAAGAAUGUUUUCUUUAAUCAAGAACGAAAGUUAGGGGAUCGAAGACGAUCAGAUACCGUCCUAGUCUUAACCAUAAACGUUACUGACUAGAGAUUGGAGGUUGUGAUUCACAAACUCCAUCAGCACCUCUAUGUGUAAACAAAGUCUUUGAGUUCUGGGGGGAGUAUGGUCGCAAGACUGAAACUUAAAGGAAUUGACGGAAGGGCACCACCAGGAGUGGAACCUGCGGCUUAAUUUGACUCAACACGGGGAAACUUACCAGAUCAAGACAUAGUAAGGAUUGACAGAUUGAGAGUUCUCUCUCGAUUCUAUGGGUGGUGGUGCAUGGCCGUUCUUAGUUGGUGGAGUGAUUUGUCUGGUUAAUUUCGUUAACGAACGAGACCUUAACUUGUUGAAUAGUGAAUCGUAACCUCGGUUACGUUGGAAUCUUCUUAGAGGGACUUUGUGUGAUCAACGCAAGGAAGUUUGAGGCGAUAACAGGUCUGUGAUGCCCUUAGAUGUUCUGGGAUGCACGCGCGUUACACUGAUUCGUUCAACGAGUUUAUGACCUUGCCUGAUGAGGUGGGGGGAAUCUUUUCAAAU